CCCUUAGAUGUUCUGGGCCGCACGCGUGCUACACUGGGUAAUUCAAUGGGUAAGGGAACGCUAGAGCAUUACCUAAUCUUGAAAUUUGCUCGUGAUGGGGAUCGACGGUUGCAAUUUUCCGUCGUGAACGAGGAAUACCUUGUAGGCGCAUGUCAUCAUCAUGCGCCGAAUACGUCCCUGCCCUUUGUACACACCGCCCGUCGCUCCUACCGAUUGAGUGAUCCGGUGAGGCUCUGGGACCUGGACGGAAAGAGCGUUUCGCUUGUUCUGUUUGGGAAACUUGGUCGAACCUUAUCAUUUAGAGGAAGGAGAAGUCGUAACA
rnacentral:rRNA from 1 species